rnacentral:rRNA from 1 species
AUUGAACGCUGGCGGCAUGCUUUACACAUGCAAGUCGAACGGUAACAGGGUGCUUGCACCGCUGACGAGUGGCGAACGGGUGAGUAAUGCGUCGGAACGCACCGAGUAAUGGGGGAUAACGCAGCGAGAGCUGUGCUAAUACCGCAUACGCUCUGAGGAGGAAAGCGGGGACCUUCGGGCCUCGCGUUAUUCGAGCGGCCGACGUCUGAUUAGCUAGUAGGUGAGGUAAGAGCUCACCUAGGCGACGAUCAGUAGCGGGUCUGAGAGGAUGAUCCGCCACACUGGGACUGAGACACGGCCCAGACUCCUACGGGAGGCAGCAGUGGGGAAUGUCGGACAAUGGGCGCAAGCCUGAUCCAGCCAUGCCGCGUGUCUGAAGAAGGCCUUCGGGUUGUAAAGGACUUUUGUCAGGGAGGAAAUCCUUAGCGCUAAUACCGUUGAGGGAUGACAGUACCUGAAGAAUAAGCACCGGCUAACUACGUGCCAGCCGCCGCAGUAA